rnacentral:lncRNA from 1 species
AAAAUUGUCAUAAGCUGUUUUCAUAAGUUCUCCAAAACAGUGUCACAAAACUUAUGUCAGUCGAUAAGUUGAAAUAAGUCAAUCCAAACAGACCCUAAAUACUGGUAAAUGAAUGAAUUUUCUAUUAUUUCUAUCGCUCAAUUAUUUAUUUUUGUUUUUUGUUUUUUGUUUUAUUUAACUAUAUACUCUUGAGAUAUUUGGAGCUUAUAUAUGACAGUGUUCAAACUGCUGAUUGCGAGAAAUAGUGUUUUUUCUUUUCUUUUCAAAUUGUUGUCAAAUAUUGGCCAUGGUGGAUUGCGGUGACAACUUCCAUAACGGAUUUGUGAAGGGUGC